ACAAGCAGAGUGUAAACAAACCAUCAGCCGGCUUUCUGUCGCUGUGUCUGGGUCAAAGUGUUAAACUAAGAGGAUGCUGAGCUCCAGCAGGCGGGAUGUUACCGGGAUCUUCUCUCUGGUACCGACACUAACGUUAAACUUCACCCGUUAAUCCCCGUUAUCCGUUCAAAUGAAGAGAUUAGGCGCUUCUCUCUGUGGUGGUUUUAUCCUGGACGUUCGUCAUCUACGCCAGCAGGGUGGCAGCUGAUUGGCUGCUGGAGGAGAGGACCGCCCUCCUGCAGCAACACUGACAGCUGAUUGGCUGCUGGAGGAAACGACUGACAGCUGAUUGGCUGCUGGAGUACCUGCUGACGGAUGUGGAUCCUCCGGAACCUCAGAACCUCGUUAUUGAAAACCGACAGAUCGCUCUGACGGGAACUCAAACUCUUCUGAAGCUGCGAUUUAAGGAUUCAAAGAUUCACCAGGAUCUCUCAAACUCUUUCUGUUUGUGCGGAUUAUUCUGGGUUUCUACAGACACUUAAAGGGGACCUAUCAUGCAAAAUGCACUUUGUGAUGUCUUCUCUACGUCAACAUGUGUCCCCGGUGCGUCGGGAACUCACGCAGC